AUUGAACGCUGGCGGAAUGCUUUACACAUGCAAGUCGAGCGGCAGCGCGGUCUUCGGACAGGCGGCGAGCGGCGAACGGGUGAGUAAUACAUCGGAACAUGCCCAGUCGUGGGGGAUAACACUUCGAAAGAAGUGCUAAUACCGCAUACGUCCUGAGGGAGAAAGCGGGGGAUCGCAAGACCUCGCGCGAUUGGAGUGGCCGAUGUCAGAUUAGCUAGUUGGUGGGGUAAAGGCCUACCAAGGCAACGAUCUGUAGCUGGUCUGAGAGGAUGAUCAGCCACACUGGGACUGAGACACGGCCAGACUCCUACGGGAGGCAGCAGUGGGGAAUUUUGGACAAUGGGGGCAACCCUGAUCCAGCCAUUCCGCGUGAGUGAAGAAGGCCUUCGGGUUGUAAAGCUCUUUCGGCAGGAACGAAACGGCGAGCCCUAACAUAGCUCGCUAAUGACGGUACCUGAAGAAGAAGCACCGGCUAACUACGUGCCAGCAGCCGCGGUAAAAC
rnacentral:rRNA from 1 species